GCACGCAACCCGUCCCCACUCGGAGUGAGACGCUGUUUCAGGACCUGGGGACGUGGCCCCGGUGGCUUUGCUGGGGGACGGAUAAGAUGCUCUGAGACCACGGUGGAGGGCACCGGUCAGUGUGCCUAGGCGGGGGUAUCGCAGAAGAAAGGCAGGUACUGGUGAGGUGUCCUUCCAAGACUGGACAACGGAGGGAAAAGCAGUGGACAAGAGGCACGUGCAGCUGGACGGCUCUGCGGAGCCCGUGCAUGGAGAUGCUUCACAGCCAACAGGGGACUCAGCGAAGGACGUGAGUGAGGGAAGCUGAGCAGGUGAGUGAGGUCCCAGAAGAAGCCACCGGGCAGGCUCUCCAGGGAGAUGGAGAUGCCAGGAGGGGACACAGCCUCGGGCGGGACCCCGCGCCCCUUCAGAUGUGCGGCUGGGGCGGGAGCGGGGCAGGCACCCCCACCCCGCUGCCCCGGGGAAGGCACGUGUGGAAACAGCGCCUUUGCCCGUGGAGCCGGCCAGGCGGAGGCUCAGGGGUCCUUGCAGGAUGUCACACCUGCCCGACCGGGAGCUGAGCCGGCUCAGGAGCAUCACCACCCCCCCACCCCGGGCCGAGGCUUCGCCCGCACCCUGCGCCCCCACCCGCUGCAAGAAAACCCA